rnacentral:rRNA from 1 species
CAAAACUUUCAACAACGGAUCUCUUGGCUCUGGCAUCGAUGAAGAACGCAGCGAAAUGCGAUAAGUAAUGUGAAUUGCAGAAUCCAGUGAAUCAUCGAAUCUUUGAACGCACAUUGCCUCGCCAGCAUUCUGGCGGGCAUGCCUGUUCGAGC